AUACCCUGGUAGUCCACGCCGUAAACGUUGGGCGCUAGGUGUGGGGGUCCUUCCACGACCUCCGUGCCGCAGCUAACGCAUUAAGCGCCCCGCCUGGGGAGUACGGCCGCAAGGCUAAAACUCAAAGGAAUUGACGGGGGCCCGCACAAGCGGCGGAGCAUGCGGAUUAAUUCGAUGCAACGCGAAGAACCUUACCAAGGCUUGACAUGCACGGGAAAGUUCCAGAGAUGGUUCCCCCGCAAGGUCCGUGCACAGGUGGUGCAUGGUUGUCGUCAGCUCGUGUCGUGAGAUGUUGGGUUAAGUCCCGCAACGAGCGCAACCCUUGUCUUAUGUUGCCAGCGGGUUAUGCCGGGGACUCAUAAGAGACUGCCGGGGUCAACUCGGAGGAAGGUGGGGAUGACGUCAAAUCAUCAUGCCCCUUAUGUCUUGGGCUUCACGCAUGCUACAAGGGCCGGUACAAAGGGCUGCGAAACCGCGAGGUGGAGCGAAUCCCAAAAAGCCGAUCUCAGUUCGGAUUGGGGUCUGCAACUCGACCCCAUGAAGUCGGAGUCGCUAGUAAUCGCAGAUCAGCAACGCUGCG
rnacentral:rRNA from 1 species